UGCGCCCUUGAGACGGAGCUGGAGGUCCGGCCUCGAAGCAGUAUCUCUACAGUUAUGGCGAAGGAGUGGAAUAAUGACCACAUAAAAAAAACUUAUUGAACUGUACCGCGAAAGACUUUGUUUAUGGAAAAUCAACCAUGAACAUUACCCCAACAAAAACAUAAAAAAUAGAGCGUACGCAGAGAUUCUUGAAAAACUUUUAGACGAUGUUCCAACUGUGGACCAGACUACAAUAAAAAUGAAGACACAAAAUUUGAGAUGCACCUACAGAAUGGAGCCAAGGAAGGUGAAGGCCUCUGAAAGAAGCGGAAAAGGGAAAGAUGAAUGGUAUGAACCAUCAUUAUGUUUUUCAGAGAACCACAGACGAAGAAGAAGCAAACUAGAGAGACAGUGAAAGACUUGGUCAUGUUCAUGAAAAUAUGCACUGCAGCCCUCAACAUUCAGCCGACAAUUGCGGACGACUGUGCUGCACUUGGGAACUAUGUUUCGGUAAAAUUGCGUAAAAUGGACGAAACGCUGCAAAUCCUUGCUGAGGCGGUAAUACAAAAGGUCGUAACUCGGGGAAAGAAGAAUCAACUCACAGAUAGCCGGCCAGUGUGGCCGAGCGGUUCUAGGCGCUUCAGUCUGGAACCGCGCGACCGCUGCGUCGCAGGUUCGAAUCUUGCCUUGGGCAUGGAUGUGUGUAAUGUCCUUCGGUUAGUUAGGUUUAAGUAGUUCUAAGUUCUAGGGGACUGAUGACCUCAGAUGUUAAGUCCCAUAGGGCUCAGAGCCAUUUGAACCAUUUUGAACUCACAGAUAACACAGAUCUGUACGAAUCAACAGCCCCACAAGUGUUUGCGUUUCCUUACAUCCCGACUACUCACAAUUCAUCCAGUGCAUCUUAUGGUUCAUCCCAUACCGCACAACUGACUUCUUCGUCAAAAGAUAGCUACUAUAGUUUUGGGUAUCAGUGAAAAAGUUUAGUUAUUAUUCC